rnacentral:rRNA from 1 species
UACGUAGGGUGCGAGCGUUAAUCGGAAUUACUGGGCGUAAAGCGUGCGCAGGCGGUUCUCCAAGUCCGUUGUGAAAGCCCCGGGCUCAACCUGGGAAUGGCAGUGGAAACUAGGGGACUGGAAUCUGGCAGAGGAAGGUGGAAUUCCACGUGUAGCGGUGAAAUGCGUAGAGAUGUGGAGGAACACCGAUGGCGAAGGCAGCCUUCUGGGCCAACACUGACGCUCAUGCACGAAAGCGUGGGGAGCAAACAGG